UACGUAGGGGUGCUAGCGUUAUCCGGAAUCACUGGGCGUAAAGCGUGCGUAGGCGGCUUGUUAAGUGAGAUGUGAAACCGUGUGGGCUCAACCAUAUCGUUGCAUUUCAUACUGGGCAGGCUAGAGGACGGCAGAGGCAAGUGGAAUUGGGUAGUGUAGCAGUGAAAUGCGUAGAUAUUACCAGGAACACCAAUGGCGAAGGAGCUGCUGGGCCGACCCUGACGCUGAGGUACGGAAAGCGUGGGGGAGCGAACAG
rnacentral:rRNA from 1 species